rfam:Salmo salar isolate Sally breed double haploid chromosome ssa09, whole genome shotgun sequence.
UGGCUCAGUUGGUAGAGCAUGGUGUUUGCAAUGCCAGGGUUGUGGGUUCAAUUCCCAU